rnacentral:rRNA from 1 species
GAUGAACGCUGGCGGCGUGCCUAAUACAUGCAAGUCGAGCGAAUGGAUUAAGAGCUUGCUCUUAUGAAGUUAGCGGCGGACGGGUGAGUAACACGUGGGUAACCUGCCCAUAAGACUGUGAUAACUCCGGGAAACCGGGGCUAAUACCGGAUAACAUUUUGAACCGCAUGGUUCGAAAUUGAAAGGCGGCUUCGGCUGUCACUUAUGGAUGGACCCGCGUCGCAUUAGCUGGUUGGUGAGGUAACGGCUCACCAAGGCAACGAUGCGUAGCCGACCUGAGAGGGUGAUCGGCCACACUGGGACUGAGACACGGCCCAGACUCCUACGGGAGGCAGCAGUAGGGAAUCUUCCGCAAUGGACGAAAGUCUGACGGAGCAACGCCGCGUGAGUGAUGAAGGCUUUCGGGUCGUAAAACUCUGUUGUUAGGGAAGAACAAGUGCUAGUUGAAUAAGCUGGCACCUUGACGGUACCUAACCAGAAAGCCACGGCUAACUACGUGCCAGCCGCCGCGGUAA